rnacentral:rRNA from 1 species
GACGAACGCUGGCGGCGUGCUUAACACAUGCAAGUCGAACGGAAAGGCCCUGCUUUUGUGGGGUGCUCGAGUGGCGAACGGGUGAGUAACACGUGAGUAACCUGCCCUUGACUUUGGGAUAACUUCAGGAAACUGGGGCUAAUACCGGAUAGGAGCUCCUGCUGCAUGGAGGGGGUUGGAAAGUUUCGGCGGUUGGGGAUGGACUCGCGGCUUAUCAGCUUGUUGGUGGGGUAGUGACUUACCAAGGCUUUGACGGGUAGCCGGCCUGAGAGGGUGACCGGCCACAUUGGGACUGAGAUACGGCCCAGACUCCUACGGGAGGCAGCAGUGGGGAAUAUUGCACAAUGGGCGGAAGCCUGAUGCAGCAACGCCGCGUGCGGGAUGACGGCCUUCGGGUUGUAAACCGCUUUCGCCUGUGACGAAGCGUGAGUGACGGUAAUGGGUAAAGAAGCACCGGCUAACUACGUG